rnacentral:rRNA from 1 species
UGGGGAAUUUUGGACAAUGGGCGAAAGCCUGAUCCAGCAAUGCCGCGUGUGUGAAGAAGGCCUUCGGGUUGUAAAGCACUUUUGUCCGGAAAGAAAUCCUUGGCUCUAAUACAGUCGGGGGAUGACGGUACCGGAAGAAUAAGCACCGGCUAACUACGUGCCAGCAGCCGCGGUAAUACGUAGGGUGCAAGCGUUAAUCGGAAUUACUGGGCGUAAAGCGUGCGCAGGCGGUUUGCUAAGACCGAUGUGAAAUCCCCCGGGCUCAACCUGGGGAACUGCAUUGGUGACUGGGCAGGCUAGAGUAUGGCAGAGGGGGGUAGAAUUCCACGUGUAGCAGUGAAAUGCGUAGAGAUGUGGAGGAAUACCGAUGGCGAAGGCAGCCCCCUGGGCCAAUACUGACGCUCAUGCACGAAAGCGUGGGGAGCAAACAGGAUUAGAUACCCUGGUAGUCCACGCCCUAAACGAUGUCAACUAGUUGUUGGGGAUUCAUUUCCUUAGUAACGUAGCUAACGCGUGAAGUUGACCGCCUGGGGAGUACGGUCGC